rnacentral:rRNA from 1 species
UACGGGGGGAGCAAGCGUUGUUCGGAUUUACUGGGCGUAAAGGGCGCGUAGGCGGUCGUGACAAGUCACUUGUGAAAUCUCCGGGCUUAACUCGGAACGGUCAAGUGAUACUGUCGGACUAGAGUACAGAAGGGGCAACUGGAAUUCUCGGUGUAGCGGUGAAAUGCGUAGAUAUCAAGAGGAACACCUGAGGUGAAGACGGGUUGCUGGGCUGACACUGACGCUGAGGCGCGAAAGCUAGGGGAGCAAACGGG